rnacentral:misc_RNA from 1 species
UCCUUCUUAUCGAAGGCAGUUUCCAAAGAGUGCCUCCCUUGCGGGAGUAGCAACAUUGGAUAAGGGUUGCGCUCGUUGCGGGACUUAACCCAACAUCUCACGACACGAGCUGACGACAACCAUGCAGCACCUCUGCUGGCUCCGUUGCGGGUCAGCCCCUGUUUCCAAGGACUUACCACCAGUAGUUCAAGCCCAGGUAAGGUUCUUCGCGUUGCGUCGAAUUAAACCACAUGUUCCACCGCUUGUGCGGGCCCCCGUCAAUUCCUUUGAGUUUCAACCUUGCGGCCGUACUCCCCAGGCGGCUCAUUUAAUGCGUUAGCUGCGACGCGGAAGGGGUCGAUACCUCCCACAUCUAAUGAGCAUCGUUUAGGGCUAGGACUAC